ensembl:lncRNA
AGCCCUGACCCUCCCGUUUCUCCGCUGGUUCCGCCCAGCCUCGAUCCUUCUGUUUCUCCGCUGGUUCCGUCCAGCUCUGACCCUCCUGUUUCUCCGCUGGUUCCGUCCAGCCCCGAUCCUUCUGUUUCUCCGCUGGUUCCGUCCAGCUCUGACCCUCCUGUUUCUCCGCUGGUUCCGCCCAGCCUCGAUCCUCCUGUUUCUCCGCUGGUUCCGCCCAGCCCCGAUCCUCCUGUUUCUCCGCUGGUUCCGUCCAGCCCUGACCCUCCUGUGUUCCCUCCCAUCCUCCCUCUCUCAUCUUCUCCUAGACCAGCCAGUUCCUCGACCUCAUCUCCGCUGGUGCCAGUCAGUCCCGCAGCUCACCCUCAGUCCGCGCCAUCUGGGCGCGAUGGAUCUCCGCAGGACUUCCAGUCUCCAGCUCCGCCUUGGCGUGUGGAUUCCCUGUCUCCGCCUCCAGCCUCUGAGCCCUGGACUCCUCCUUGGUCCUUCGACCCAGCGGCUCUGUCUUGGCUCUUAGCUCCCUAUUCUCCGCCGUGGCCCGGCAUCCCACCUGCUCCACUGGGCUCCCUCGUCUCUCCGGCUCCACCUUGGUCAGUCGUUGACCAUCCGCCGCCUCUGGACUCCAUUCCUCUGGCUUCGCCUCGUCACUCCAUCCCUCCGGCUCUGUCAGGCUCCUCCUUCCCUCUGGUUCCGCCUCCAGCCUCAGUCACUCCAGCUCUGCAGUGGUCUGCCAGGGUCCCGCCUCCGCCUUGGUCGCCUGAGCCUUCUGCUCUGCCUUGGCCCUCCGGAUCCUCGGCUUCACCCUGGCUCUGCGGCUGCUCUGCUCCAUCUUGGGCUCCAUCUGUGGGCCCCCCUGGUGUCGUCGGCUCCUUCUCCACCAUGGCUCCUCCCGCCGUCGACUCCACCGUGGCUCUCCAUCCUGGCUGGUCUCAGGAGCACCAUCUGGCUCCUCCAGCUCCGGGCUCCUCCCUGGCUCCUCCCUCCAUCCACUCCGCCCUGGUUCCUAGCUCCUUGCUCCCUCUUCGCCUGCCCCACGCCCGCCUCCAGAACCCCCACUCUCCCUCCGCUGGUAUUCCUCUUGCGGUGCGAGGACGCACCGUUCCGGAAGGGGGCGAACUGUUACAUUCAGUGACUUUCAGUUUCCUUAUUUGGUCUGUUUCCUGUUCUAGUUUUGUUAAUUGAUUCAUCCCCACCUGUCUCCAUUUCCCUGAUUACCUCCUGUGUGCUUAAAUACCCUGUCUGUUUAGUUCUUCCUCAUCCGUGAUUAAUGUUGUAGUAAUCUUGGAAUAAUGUUGUAUCCUAAUGUUGUAAUGUAGUUUAUGUUGGAUGUGCCCUUGUUCCGCCGCUAUCAUUAAAAGAAACCCUUUGUAAUUCGUCUUCCUUUUGCGCCUUCAUUUCACUACAGCUAAACCUUAACACAAGACAAGUAGGCUAAUAAAAAAUGCUAAUAAAACUAACUCA